AGUCGAACGCAGUACAAUACUUUGUGGCAAACGGGUGAGUAUAAUGUGGGAAUCUGCCUUUUGGUUUGGAAUAACACAGGGAAACUUGUGCUAAUACCGAAUAAGCCCUUACGGGGAAAGCUUU
rnacentral:rRNA from 1 species